CUAGGAUGAACGCUGGCGGCGUGCUUAACACAUGCAAGUCGAACGAAGACUCCCAAACUUGAGUUUCGGACAAGAGUGCGGGAAGACUUAGUGGCGGACGGGUGAGUAAUGCGUGAGCAACCUGCCCUCAGAGGGGGACAACAGCUGGAAACGGCUGCUAAUACCGCAUAAAGUAUCGAGAAGGCAUCUUCAUGAUACCAAAGAUUUAUCGCUGAAGGAUGGGCUCACGUCUGAUUAGCUAGUUGGUGAGGUAAUGGCUCACCAAGGCUGCGAUCAGUAGCCGGACUGAGAGGUUGACCGGCCACAUUGGGACUGAGAUACGGCCCAGACUCCUACGGGAGGCAGCAGUGGGGAAUAUUGGGCAAUGGGCGCAAGCCUGAACCCCAGCAACGCCGCGUGAAGGAAGAAGGCUUUCGGGUUGUAAACUUCUUUUGGCAGGGACGAAGAACGUGACGGUACCUGCAGAAUAAGCUCCGGCUAACUACGUGCCAGCAGCUGC
rnacentral:rRNA from 1 species